rnacentral:rRNA from 1 species
UACGGAGGGUGCAAGCGUUAUCUGGAUUCACUGGGUUUAAAGGGUGCGUAGGUGGGUUUGUAAGUCAGUGGUGAAACCUCCAGGCUUAACCUGGAAACUGCCAUUGAUACUAUAGAUCUUGAAUUUUCUGGAGGUAAGCGGAAUAUGUCAUGUAGCGGUGAAAUGCUUAGAUAUGACAUAGAACACCAAUUGCGAAGGCAGCUUGCUACAGGAAUAUUGACACUGAGGCACGAAAGCGUGGGGAUCAAACAGG